CACUCUUUUACCUCUUGAGCACAAGAUACAAAAUUAAGAUCAGGAUCUGACACAGAACAUAGAGCAUUUCACUACAGGGAAGAGCUGCCACUAUGCUGUUUGCCAGCCUGCUUGGGGCAGCCAUCACCUCCCUCUGCCUUGGAACCGGCAUGGCCGAGAAAGUAUCUCAAACUCAGACUGCAAUUUCAGCACUUGAGAAGGAAGAUGUGACCAUGCACUGUGUGUAUGAAACCAGUGAUCCUCGUUAUUCCUUAUUCUGGUACAAACAGCCACCAACUGGGGAAAUGAUUUUCCUCAUUCGUCAGGACUCUUACAGUGAGCACAAUGCCACAGAGGGCCGUUAUUCUCUGAAUUUCCAGAAGGCAGCCAAGUCCAUCAAGUUCACCAUCACAGCCUCCCAGCUCGUUGACUCAGCAGUGUAUUUCUGUGCGCUGAUGGAGGGCACAGUGAGAAGGGGCCUGCAGGAACCCUGCAAAAAACUCAGCAAGAGACAGGGCCCUGGGAAGAGACUUCAUCACAGACAGGGAGGAGCACAAGCAUCACGGCUAUGCUCUAAACCAUAAAUCUGCAAGAGUUAAACAGUUAAAAUUCAUUUAUUUAGGAUAAAUAUUUUUCAUCUGAAAAUUAUUCUUUGGUUCAGCUGAUUUUAGUUAAGUGAUACAAGUGUUUUUACAUUGUCUCUCAGAGCCUGUGUAAAAUAAUAUCAUAACUGUGUGGAGUUGCAAAAACCCUGUGCUUUAAAACUAUUUAUACGUGCAUAGGACUACCUGUCUUCUUAUUCCUAUAAUACAGUUGUGAUGGUUACUCUUAAUUGUGUUAACUUGAUUGGAUUAAGAAAUACACAGAAGAUUAGUAAAGCACAUUUCUGGAUUUGUCUGGGUGGGUCA